AGCGGACUUUCUGUCAUGAUAGAAGCAGUCUGUAGAGCUGUUUGGGUCUAACUUAGGCAUGACAUGCAGGUGUGGAGCCUGCCAAGGCUUGAAUACUCUGUUUUCUCGGAGUAAAGAUUUUGGCUCAAGAUUGUGGCUUGCCUGAAUGGAUUCUACAGGCAGAUGCAGCUUUGAAAGAGAGAAAUGCUUCAGGAUAGACCCGUUGUCAUUGGAGAUCUUUUCAUACUUGGAAACUAAAAGAGUUCUCUGAACUGUAAAGCAGAUAUCUGCUCUACAUGAGCCCUGGCAGGGAGGUGUUUUACUGCCAAUUUGCACUCUGCUUGGUUAGAACUUUGUAUCUCUCCUUCAGCAGGUUGGGAGAACAAGCCCAUCCCAGCUACAGCAUCAGCCAGUGGAAAGGAAACCUUGCUGAGAAAAUCAGAAGGGAAGCAUGGAACAGCUGGAGGUGCAGGACAGGGAGUGGAAAGGGCAGGAAAGGCAGUUAUGCCUCUUCUGUGGUACUGUGGUCAUUGGCAACUGGAGAUGUACCCAGUGGCUGGGCAGUAAGGUAGAGAUAUACUAAAGAAGUUGCAAGAACAAAUUACACCUGUAGCCAGAAAAAUUCAAGUACAUAUCCCUGAGGAUGAAGCCAUAGAGGCCCAGGUCUUCGUGUUACAGGAAUCACCUCCUGAAUCUGAAAUACCCGAGGAAGUAGACAACAUGGUAAAGCUAUUGUUAUGAGCUGGAGGAACCUCAGGAUGAUCACGGUGGACCAAAUGUGUGAUUGUACAAUUGUAGCUGAACUCCAGACUGGUCAGAAAAAAAAAAAACAUUUGAACUGUUCGUGCAUGAAAGGCUGCAUAAUGCCCUGGGAGUCCUGGCACAGAGACUGAGAUUAUUGAGAGCAUUGGAACUAUUAAAAGAAAUUUUUUAAAAAAGAGUCAAUAUAUGGAAUGAUUCAAAAUUUGCAUUUGGAGUUGUACAUUGCCAUGGAGUAAUAUGGAAGAGAAGAGGACUGCUAUCCUACCAGGGAUCACAAAUAAAAUAUGGACCCAUUAUUAUAGAGCUACUAGAAAGUGUACAGCCUCCUCAGAAAGUAGCCAUAAUGCAUCGCAAAGCACAUCAGUUCAGUAACACUCCAGUGAAUUACAGCAGCUGACUUGCCAAUAGAGCUGCUGAAGCAGCCACAGAAGGAACUCUUUUAUUAGUAAUCCUGGACAAAUAUAAAUAACUAGGGAAAGAAGUCCCACGUUAUCAAGCUAAAGAUGAGAGACUGGCAACAUUACGGACAGUGGUUAAAGAUGACAAAGGAUAGUAGAUAACUCCAGAUAAACAGACAAUUAUCCCUCAAUCUCUUAUGAAUAAAUGGCCAGAAGAUUAUCAUUGAUUGACACAAUGGGGAAUAGAGACAAUGAUAGAAAGCAUGAGACACCAAGUUUUAAGUGUGCGAAUGGCAGGAAUCAUAAAGAAUAUUGUGAAAAGAUAUGAACUCUGUUUGAAAAACAAUCUCCAUCAACCUAAAUGACCUCCACUCAAAACAGCUAAGAAAGGAAACCAUCCAGGAGUUUAUUGGCAGAUGGAUUUUUGUGAAUCACUGCGGUGAUGUGAGCACAGGUAUGUCGUUGUAUGUGCACCUUUACUCCUGGAUGGACUUGUACACCGGUACCAACCUGCAGAUUGAGUGUACCUGAAGACAGGGUCAGAUAAGGAGAAGUGGAGAGGACCCUUCCAGACUUUACUCACCACCCAUGCAGCAGUCAGACUCAAGGGAAUCAGCCUAUGGAUUCACUGCAGUAGAGUCAAGCAGGUUUCUCAUAACAAUAAGUAAUGCAUUUAUUAACGGUGAGGGAAUGAAUGUGAAAGUGAAAAUUUGGUUUUAACAUUAAUACAAGGGUUUGGUAGGAUGUGCAAUGUCACUAGCAUCUGCGUAAUCAUAAUUAUAAGAGGUAUAGGACUGUAUAAGAUGUAUUAAAAGAUAUUUUGAAAGAAAUAUGUGGAAGUAAUUAGAAGAACUAACUAUUUACUUCCCAAGGAGGAAAUUGAUACCUGGCAAUUAAUUAACCACAGGCCCCUUGCAAGGACCCCAUACUAACACAGAGCGUGUGCAGUAUUAGAUUUUAACAUAUAUAGUAAUUCUUGUAAUAGGCAGGCACUCUGUGGAAAAUGUAUGAAUAUUCACACAUGUUCAGUGUAUCUGUGUAUAUCUAUCAAUGUAUCUAUUCAAUCAAUCUGUGUGCUUUUAGCUCCUGGCUUUGCACGUUAGGCGGAGCAAUCCCCUGUGCAUCCAGUAACACAAUAACAAUAUUGUCACAAUAACAAAUGCCUGCUUCUUAAUGCUACAUUAGCAUUAAUGAGUUUUGUUCCUGAUUUCAGUGGCAGAAUUGGUGUUAUUUCUUUUUUUUUUCUUUUUUUUUUUUUCCCCCACCAAGUAUGAGGGCAAGACAUUAUGUGGGUGUAUGAGGUAUCUUUAGAUAUGCAGUGAGACAACUCAGGCACUGGGGAAAACUCAUCUCUGGAUACUGUCUCUGUCUCCCAUUUUAUUUAAGUUUCUUUCAGCUGCUGCCAUGAGCCCAGGAUAUCUCUUUUCAGCUGGCAGGAGCUGACAUAGCAGAAAUAGCUAUCAAAUAUGAUAUAGGUUCUCCCUUUGAAUGCUCCUUCUUGCACCAUUCUUGGUACAGUUUAGGGUACCAGUAGAAGAAAUGAAGAAAGCAGACAUCAAAGAUACUGCACAAGGUCAGUCAGCACCGAGAAGAGCCAACCGUCCUUCUAUAUCUGAUGCAAAGUGCCACAUCUUAGCUUUGUUUUCUUUUUCAAAAACUCUACUGGAAUUUGAAGAGGUUUUAAAACACCAGUACAUGAUUUGAAUAAUUGUAUGCUCCAAGGAAUGUAUGCCACCCAGAACAACUGGUCUGUCCCAGAGAAAUAGUACAACACUUCCGAAACGGAAGAAAAGCCUGACUUCUACUGACUUCAGUCUUCUUUUGCAAGUGGGACUUCCCACUGAGAAUCUAAAUAUGCAUCAGAUGUCUAAAAACAGUAAAUCAUUUAAGGGUUUUAACUAGGAAAAUAGUUCAGCAGCCCUUAUGAAUUAUUACUUUUUCACAUUAUUGCAAUUAAAAAUCCUCAUUUUCUCAGUGUUUGCAUAAGCAAAGUGGUUUGCCUACGGUGAAUGCAGCUCCACUGAAGGAUGUGAUACCUACUCUGCAUUGGUGCUCUCUGUUCCAAUGGGUGCAACUCUGCCAAUACUGCAGAAAUUUGAGGAUGCUUUUCUCUGAAGCAGUAGUGUUUAAAAUUUCAUCCUGUCCAUUAGAUUGCUCCAGAAUUAGCCUUGUAAGUACAUCUGAGUUCUGUGGCAUCAUGUUGCACUAAAAGCCAGUCUCUGAGAUGAGGGACUCAGGCAGUUUAUUUAUAGUUCAGAAGGUCAAAUAGUUGCCUUAAUUGGAAAACACCACUCACCAGUCUCUGAGCGUAUUGAUGUACUUUGCAUUCGAUGCCAUUAGUUACUUGUGUGAGUUUCUAAUAUCACCUUUGUUAAUAAGAUACAUUCUCCAUAAUGGGCUGCUUGCAGGUUCCAAGAGCCAUUUAUAUGCUAAGUUUGACAAGUUAGAUGAUGCUAAACCCAUACUGAAAGCAAUAGCUGUCAGAACUGUACCUGGGUGCCAGGCAGAUGUCUGUGACCUUCAAACUGUUUUGGGAUGGGAUGUGCUAAAUCCCGUCUGUAUGGUAUGUGACCAGGCAGCAAAGGUAUUUCUUCAAAUAUAUCUUGAAUUCCUGCCAGAAAAGUUGUAUAUAAACCUCACAGCAAAAGUUUGAUGGACUUGGCUUGUAGUAGAAGGAAGGUGAAAUAAAGUCACAGAAUCACAGAAGUUGGAAGGGACCUCAAGAGAUCAUUGAGUCCAACCCGCUGCCAAAGCAGGUGCCCUACAACAGGUCACACAGGUUGGUGUCCAGACAGGACUUGAAUAUCUCCAGAGAAGGAGAAGGCAAGGUGCUCCCAACAUGUCUGAAUUAAAGCAUACGAUAGCAAACACACUGAGUGAUUUGAGAGACCUGAAGAUCUCUCAUCCAUAGAGAUGCAGAUUAGGGAAAAAAAACCACAAAAACAAACCUCUUCUCAACGCAAAGGAAACUAUCUUAAAGAAGUCUAAAAAAUUCCUCUUGAUUUCACUUCUGCUGUUCCCACACUUUCCCUUGCCUACUAUUGUUGCUGAAGGUCAUGUCAAGUUUUACAUGUAGUAUGGCCCAGUAGACACAUGAUCUUAACCAUAGGAGGAAGGCAAAAUGUUAAUGUUCAUUGUGUGGAUUUAUGUAGGAAGGGAGCAAGGAAGAGGAUUAAUAUGGAGGUGGCUAAUGCUGGGACUACUCCAAGUUUCUCUGGAAUCGAGCUCAGGAUGGCAUAUACAAAUAGGAAUCACACCUCUGGUUUGAUGUGAGGGGGUGUGACUAGUGAAGUUGCUGAUGUGAAGUUUUCUGGGUCCCUUAAGAGGUUAGGGGAGAAUAAGGCUAAUAUUAGGAAGGGGAUAAAGGCAUGGGCUGAGAUGUGAAGGAAAGCUAGUUGUGAGAGAUCAAGUCCAGUGGUGACUAUUAUUAAGCUUAGCUGGCUGGAGGUGAACCUGAGGAUGUCUUUUAAUGAGAAGUAGUGAUAGAAGGGAUGGGUUGGGAGGUGAAUUAGGGAAUUGCUGACUAUUUUUAGUAGGGGAUGGGAUUUUCAGAUGUUGAGGGCCAUUAUUUUAUUAUCUAUGGGCUGAUAGAUUAAUUAUUAACAUUGAUAGAGUGAAGAAUCCUCAGUAGGUUUUGAUUAAGCCUGUGGAAUGUAGUUGUGAUUUUGCUUGCUGUCAGGUGGAGGUUAGCAAAGCCUUUGGGGCCUAUUUUCUUGUGUCAGGAUAUAUCGAUUAGGUGAAAGGCAAUUUUUUGUCCUUUAUUUAGUAGGUCUGUACAGCUGGAUCAGAGCAUUAGGGAGCUUAAAGUAGCCUAAGGAGGAGAAGUUUCUAAGGGUACUUUGUUUUAAGGGGAAGGUAAAGGUGUGGGUUAUAUUUGAAGUUCUAGAACUAGAAUAAUUCUGAGAAUUGUGAGCACAUAUAUAUGUAUUUUUAUAUAUAUAUAUAUAUGUAUAUAUAAACACUAAUAACCCAAUGAAACAUCCUACCAGUCCAAAUCACAUCCAUCCAAAACUCUAUCAUUUAUCAUAAACUUCAUAAUCCCCCUAACCUUAAAAAUAGACCCAUGCUCAAUACUAUUUUUCCAAUUGCAUAAUUUGUAACUUGAUCAAUCCUGGAAUUUGUAACAUGAUGCAUAGCCUCAGAACCAUGUAUCAAGAAAUUCUUCACCUAUCUUCUUUACGUCCGAAUUGCCAUACUAACCAUUGCAAACAGCAUAUUCCUUCUUUUGUAGGCUGAGAGGAAUUAUGUCAUUCCUAUUCAUUGGCUGAUGACAAUGUCAAGCCAAAACUAACACAGCAGCAUUAAAAGCUGUAGUCUACCACCAGAUUGAAGAUAUAUAAGGCAAUGUAAUAUAACACAAAAUAGAGAUAAGCAUGUGAGUUUUUAACACUUGAAUUCAGUACUGUGCAGUACAAAGUACAAAGGAUCUAAGUAGAGUAAAUUUAAAUUUAAGAAGGUAAGCAGUUUUAGUUAGUUUAAAAUGGCAGGCUGGAGUAUUUAUUUGAUAAAAAGUCAUUCAAGUAUUUGACAGAAAGUCAUAGAAAUGAAAAAGCUAGACAUAACUGUUUUUAAAACAGCAUAACAACAUAAAAUGGGAAGAAGAGAGACUGAGAUUGUACUAUUAAUGUUUUCAUGAAGAAACAAAACACCAGACUUAAACAAGCAAACUCUAGUGGAGGAAAUAGAAACCCUAUUUUCUGCGGAGUGUGCAGUGAGACAUAAUGGCUGUAUAACUUCUAAAAGUUUAUAGUUUAGUGGUGCAGGCUCAGAAUAAAAGAAUUCAAUAGCAAAAUGAGUCAACACUUAAACCUAAAUUGUAAUUUAUAAGGGACUCUCUUCUCACGCAAAUCAAAUUUGGAAGCAGAAUAAUGUCUUCUGAUAGCGAGGCAGUAUUUGCUGAAUGUUCUGGGUGGCAGUUUGCAAUACACAGACAUUUGAAAUUACAUUUAUAAAAUAAAUGUUCAAUUCAAAACAAUUUUUAGCCUAUUUGCUGACACAUAAUACAAAAUUGUUGCUACACUAUAUAUUUCUUCAUAUAAGGCAUUGCAACACGCAGACAGUAAUGAAAAAUGGAGGCAACAGAGUUCUUGCAAAUGAAAGCAAGAAUGUAACUCUGUUCUUCCUGCUUCCCACCAGGGAAUGGUGGCUUCCAAAACACUGGAAAACAAGGCAGUUGGUGAGAAAGUCUCAGAAUUGACUCCAUGUGUUAAAAAAAGAAGGCCAAACAAAGCCAAGAGUGGUCACUCCCUGGCAUGUGCACCCUGCCUGAUACUUCAGGGAGAACAGAGUCACAUGGGCCUACACAUCACUGUCUCUCUCCUUCACUCUGCAUCUGCCAGGACAGAUGCAAUAAGGAUGCUGGUGCAUAUUGAAGCUCUGCUCUUCCAGUGGAUCUCAGCAGAAUGCACACUGAAAUUUCUCAUAGCUGAUGUACUCUCCUCACAGCUUAGAAGCCCCACUCACAGCAUCACAUAACAGUCCAGACUGAAAGGGACCAUAAAGCCCACUCAGGCCCAACCCACUGCCAUGGCCUGGCUGCCCCCUCCAGCUCAGGCUGCCCAGGGGCCAAUCCAACCUGUCCUUGAGUGCCUCCAGGGAUGGGGCACCACAACUUCUCCGGGCAGCUGUGCCAGGGCCUCACUGCCCUCUGAGUAAGGAAUUUCAUCCUAACAUCUAACCUAAAUCAUGAGUUUUUCGGUUCAAAACUAUCACUCCUUUUCCUAUCACUAUCACUGCAAACUGUCUAAGAGUGCACUCAGCCCCACUGUCCAUGUCAAUGAGAGAUGUUCAGUAGUGCCAGUCCCAACACACACCCCUGAGGAACACCUCUUGUUACUUUUCUCCACCUGGACAUCAAGCCAUUGACCUCAGUUCUUUGAGUGAGACCAUCCGGCUGAUUUGGUCUGCAGCUGCUAGUAUUGUUUGUGUAUCCCCAGUAAGUUCACAAUCCAUACAAAAACAUUCAGACUUUGAUUAAGUCUUGCAAUGCAAAUCUAGGACAACGUUAGAUAAACUGAAUUUGCAUGUGAAAUUAAAUAGCACUAGGGACACUGUUCUGAGUUACGAAUUUUCACUUUUCAUUUAAUUAAGAACUUGUACUUUCAAAGUAACCUGAAUCUAUCACAUAAUCUCCAGUAGUACGCACCACAGUGCUGCAAGAACUGUGAACCUUUUAGCUAAACUUUAGAAUAGCAUGGCAUAAGCAUAGCAUAGUUCAGUUGGAAGAGACCUUCAGACAUCAUCUAGUCCAAGUGUCUGACCUCAUCAGGGCUAAACAAGAGUUAAGUUAAUGAAAGCAUCAUCCAAAUGCCUCUUGAACAUGGGACAUCAACCACCUCUCUAAGUAGCCUGUUCCAGUGUCUGAUUGCACUCACAGCAAAGACAUUUUUCCUGAUGUCCGGUCUAAUCCUCCCAUGGCACAGCUUGUGCUGUUCCCAUCCAGUUCCUAGGAGCAGAGCCAGGUAACUCCCUCUCCAUUCCCCUCCUCAGGGAGCUGCAGAGAGCAGUGAGGUCACCUCUUGGCCUCCCAUUCUCCAGACUAGACAACCCCAGUGUCCUCAGCCUCUGCUCACAGCACAUGCCUUACAACCCUGUUACCAGCUUUGUUGUUCUCUGGAUGCUUUCAAGGACCUCAUCAUCCGUUCCGUAUUGUGGAGCCCAGAACUGCACACAGCACUCCAGGUGAGGCCACACCAUUGCUAGAGAUACAGUGGGAUAAGCAGCUCUUUUGACCAGCUGGUCAUGCUGUGUUUAUUGCACCUCCAAGGGCAGUUUGCCCAUUUGACUGCCAGGGCACACUGCUGGCUCAUGCUGAGCCUGCUGUCACCAGCACCCCAAGGAACCUUCAUGCUGAGCUGCUCUCCAGCCACUCCUUUCCCAUCUGU
ensembl:lncRNA